rnacentral:rRNA from 1 species
GUCGAGAAUCUUUCACAAUGGGGGCAACCCUGAUGGAGCGACGCCGCGUGGAGGAUAAGGUCUUCGGAUUGUAAACUCCUGUCAUGCGUGAACAAGGUUGCUUGGUUAAUACCUGGGCAAAUUGAUGGUAACGCAAGAGGAAGAGACGGCUAACUCUGUGCCAGCAGCCGCGGUAAUACAGAGGUCUCAAGCGUUGUUCGGAAUCACUGGGCGUAAAGGGUGCGUAGGUGGCGUGGUAAGUCAGAUGUGAAAGCCCGGGGCUCAACCUCGGAACUGCAUCCGAUACUGCCAUGCUAGAGUACUGGAGAGGUGACUAGAAUUCUCGGUGUAGCAGUGAAAUGCGUAGAUAUCGAGAGGAAUACCAAAGGCGUAGGCAGGUCACUGGACAGUUACUGACACUGAGGCACGAAGGCCAGGGGAGCGAAAGGGAUUAGAAACCCCAGUAGUCC